CCUGUCGUCAGUAGUGAGUGGAGGCUUGUGUUGUGUGGUGUUGGUCAGGGCUUGCGAAAUUAUAGCGUUUUAAAAUCACUUGCAAUGUCGUCGCUGUCGCUUCCGAGGGUUUUGCAGCAACGCAAGACCGGCUUAGAAUUGGAGAGGGAGAAUUUUGAAAAGAACCAGGCCAUCAGCAUCAGCAAGGCUAUCAACAAUAUGGAAACUCCAGUGAAGCAGAAACAUGUGAGAAGCACAAUCAUUGGAACUUUUCAAGAAAAAGGUGGAGCAACUUUCUGGGCAUGUGUGCUGCGACUGCCUUUGCAGGACAGUCGUAUUGUUGCGUGGAAGUUCUGUCAUGUUCUGCACAAGGUGCUGAGAGAAGGCCACCCACAGGUGUUACCAUAUUCACAACGUUACAGAGGGAAGAUUGAGGACCUGGGGAAAUAUUGGUGCCACUUGAGGGAGGGAUAUGGGAAAUUAAUACAAAUUUACUGCUCAUUACUGAUGACAAAAUUGGACUUCCAUAGACGUAAUCCUCGGUUUCCAGGAAACAUGCAAGUUACUCAAGAAGAACUUGAAAGUAUUGGAGAAAAUGAUAUAAAUAAUUACUUCCAGAUGUCAGUGGAGAUGUUUGACUACAUGGAUGAAAUUCUAAGUCUUCAGUCAGCAGUUUUUGGACAAUUAGACAUGUCCCGGUCGAAUUCAAUGACUAGUUGUGGACAGUGUCGCCUGGCUCCACUGAUACCAUGUAUACAAGACUCAUCACAACUCUAUGACUAUUGUGUGAAAAUACUUUUUAAAUUACAUGCAAGCUUACCACCAGAUACACUGGGUGGCCACAGAGAGAGGUUUCUUAAACAAUUUAAAGACCUGAGACAGUUCUACCUUACUGCAAAUACAAUGCAGUACUUCAAGUCCCUUAUACAAAUUCCGUUGUUGCCAGAGAAACCACCGAACUUCUUGGUGGAAGCCGAUCUUCGCAGUUAUGUGACACCAGUCGUAGUGCUUCCACCAGAGGAGAGUACUCAUGAAACAGAGUCUACUGAUGGUACCCUGAUUGAUACUACUGAUACGGGAUCAACUGGAGAGUUAUUGGAUUUACAUAGUCGAAAUGGUUCCAUAUCGCCAGAUGUACUAGCAGAAAGGGACAAUUUAAUUGAACACCUACAUAUGGAAAUAGCACGCCUUCGUCAAGAAAUUCAGAGACUAACAGCAGAGCACAAAAGGAUUGUGGAACAAUUGAAUGAGCGGAUAAUGGACUUGGAGACCCAACUAGCAACAAAGGACAGUGAACUUCUUCAGGAAAAACAGCUGAAGGAUGACCUACUUCAGCAGACAGAGGAUUUUUCAAGAUACCAGGAAACAGAAAAGAAGGCCAAAACAAUAGAGGAAAAGUUUCAGAAAUUAAAGGAGGUGUACACAAAACUGAGAGAGGAACAUAUUCAGCUAAUACGACAGAAAGCAGAUGUAGAUAAACAGUUACUUCAUGCAAGAACUGUAAGUGAUCAAACUCAGAGACUGCAAGCAGAAGCAGAAGCAAAAUUGCAGGAAAUGCAGUUUGAGAGAUCAAAAAUGGAGCAGAACCUUGUACAGUCAGCAAAUGAGGCUAGCGAGCAGGUAGCUGCACUGAAGGCUGCACAAGAAAAUGCAAAAUUGGAGAAUGAGACACUUGCAGCGCGAGUGGACUGGGUGUUAAAAGAGAAAAGUAAUCUUGAAAGUGAACUCCAUGAUUUGCUAUCACAGAAGGAAGAGUUAGAUCAACAGUUACAGGAAGCAGAAGCUAAGCAUAAAAAAUUGCAGGAUCAGUUAAAGAAAGAGGCAGAGGAUAGAAUGAAAAGCAUACUUGUAUCCUGUGUGGUGCAGGCUGAAACCAUAGUGCAGAGAGCAAUUCAUGAAGUUGACAAUCCAGCUUUAUCAGCAGUUACGUGUACACCAGAUUAUUUCCAAAGUCUGACUGAUCCUGUUGUUGCAUCAUUGGAUGACAUCAGUGCAUCGUACAAAAUGUUCCAUGACAACUCGGCAAACAUAGAUGACCUCUUAAAACAUAUUUCACAUGUUGCUCACCUAAUAGCUAAUUAUUUAAUUCAAGGAAAAACUACUUCAAACACAUCACCAGACAUAGAAUUUGGAGAGCGAAUUGCAGAAGCCUGCAAACAGGCUGGAACUGAGUCACUUGUACUUCUUGCAAGUGUAAAAUCAGUGGCUCCAUCAUCGUCUAUAACAGACAAUGCAAACACUGUUAAGCAGAAAGUUAAAGAUGUGACUGAUUUAAUGGAAAGACUGAUAAGUCAGUUAAAAGGAGACUCUGCAGAAAUGAUAGAAGAUCUAGUUGAGAAUGAACUGUCAAGUAUGGACAAAGCAAUAGAAGAGGCUGCAGCUAGAAUAGAGGAAAUGUUAAAUAAAUCCAGAGCUGCCGAUUCUGGUAUUAAGCUUGAAGUAAAUGAGAAGAUUCUAGAUUCUUGCACCAACUUGAUGAAAGCAAUUAGGUUGCUUGUUCAGAAAUCUAAACUUUUGCAAGCAGAAAUUAUUUCCCAAGGAAAGGGGACUGCAUCUACAAAGGAAUUUUAUAAACGAAAUCACCAGUGGACUGAAGGCUUGAUAUCAGCAGCAAAGUCUGUGGCAGUGGGAGCUCGUUUCUUAGUAUCGGCAGCAGACAAAGUUGUUAGUGGAAAUGGAAAAUUUGAACAGCUCGUUGUGGCAUCCCAAGAAAUUGCUGCAGGAACAGCACAGUUAGUUGUUGCAAGCAGAGUGAAAGCAGACAGGAAUAGUACUAACCUUGCUGCCCUGUCCCAAGCAUCAAAAGGUGUGACCCAGGCAACAGGUGGUGUUGUUGCAACUGCAAAGUCCUGCAGCCAAAUGGUAGUUGACAAUGAGGAGCUGGAUGUGAGUGGCUUGACUUUACAUCAAGCAAAACGGCUAGAAAUGGAGUCUCAGGUUAAAGUAAUUGAGCUUGAAGCAAACCUUCAGCAGGAACGUCUUCGACUGGCAGCACUCCGGCGGCAGCACUAUCAGCUAGCGGGGGUCACGGAAGGUUGGGAUCCAGAGGCUGAUGAGCAAGCACCCAGUACCCCUAAAUAAGUAAAUGAAGAUGCAGUGUACAUAUAAAAAGUAAUUGUAUAUAAUCUCUUGAGUCAUAGUCACCUCAUUAAUAUUAAACCAUGAAGAUGAAGUUUCGAGAUAAAAGCCUUCACCAUAAAAGAAAGGUAUAGACUCAGGCAGUCAUUGCCAUAACAAGAAGUUCAAUUUACCUCUGCAUCAUAACACUGCCAAACUGCAGGCUGGAGACUUCACAAGGAGAAUACUGUCCACAUUUAAUCCAAACCGGUAAACCAUUACCAAGUAUAACAGCAUCAUGAAAGAAGUGUUUCAACUGAUGAUGAAAUCGUGAAGGGAAAAGAUAAAGUUUUGACUGCAGACUGUGCAAUGUGAAGACACAGCCUACAAAUGAGGCUGAUCUGUAGCUGCUGAUGUAACUACAUCUGAGCCUUUUCCAUGUACCAAUCUUUUCUAUGUAUUUUUAUUUAUAUGUGAUAUCCACAGAGUAUAUCAACGGUAUUUAACACUAUUGAUUAAUGCCGUAAGCAAUGAUUGCAACUCAUUUCAUAAGAAGUUUUUGCCUUACAUUAAGUUGGGAAAGAGACAAAUGUAAAUAUUGUACGCAUCAUAAACAUCAUUAGAAUGUGUGGAAGUUUGAAUCAUUGAACUCAGGGACUGAAGUGUCUUUAAAAUAUGAAACUGUUAAUAAUAUUGUUUUCAAUUUUCCCAUGUAAGUCAUCACACUGGUCUUUAUUUAUUGAUUUCUAAUAUGUAUUAAAACAUAUCACCUCUCCAUUGACAAAUGAUAUAUGCUAACAGUUCUUAUUCAGCUGUAUGGUAAUAGUAAGAACUGCUGAUCAUACCAAAAUAUAGAUCAACAGGCCCCUCAGCCAUGUUGAUUGUGAAGUAUUUUACUCUACCAAAAUAACACCAAAAUCAAAUAAAUGUAAGUCAUAGAAAAUUUUUGUCAUUCAGUAAUAAAGAAAAUUUACAAACAUCA